rnacentral:rRNA from 1 species
UACAGAGGUCCCAAGCGUUGUUCGGAUUCACUGGGCGUAAAGGGUGCGUAGGUGGCGGGGUAAGUCGGAUGUGAAAUCUCCGAGCUCAACUCGGAAAUGGCAUUGGAAACUACCUUGCUCGAGGGUUGGAGGGGGGACUGGAAUUCCCGGUGUAGCGGUGAAAUGCGCAGAUAUCGGGAGGAACACCAAUGGCGAAGGCAGCUCGCUGGGACGGUACUGACGCUGAGACGCGAAAGCGUGGGGAGCAAACAGG